AACGAACGCUGGCGGCGUGCCUAACACAUGCAAGUCGAACGCGAAAAGUCCUUCGGGAUGAGUAAAGUGGCGCACGGGUGAGUAACACGUAGGUGACCUGCCUUUUAGAGGGGAAUAACCAGAAGAAAUUUUGGCUAAUGCCGCAUACGAAGUACAAAUCUAAGAGUAGUACUUGAAAGGAUGCCUCUGUAUAUGCAUCCACUAAAAGAUGGGCCUGCGGAACAUUAGCUAGUUGGUGGGGUAAAGGCCUACCAAGGCAACGAUGUUUAUCCGGUCUGAGAGGAUGAUCGGACACACUGGAACUGAGACACGGUCCAGACUCCUACGGGAGGCAGCAGUGGGGAAUAUUGCGCAAAUGGGGGAAAACCCUGACGCAGCAACGCCGCGUGAGUGAGGAAGGACUUCGGUCUGUAAAGCUCUGUUAAUGUGGAAAAAUGGUAGUUGGUCUAAAUAGGCCGAUUAUUUGAUGGUACACAUAGAGGAAGCACCGGCUAACUUCGUGCC
rnacentral:rRNA from 1 species